AUCCUCCCCAUGCCGGGAAGGGUGAGAAGCUUCGACUAAGGUUCGAGUCGAGCGAAAGCGAGACAACGUUGCCGCAGGCAACGGCCCGAAGGGCGAGGAGCGAAGCGACGAGUAAUCCUUCCCCCACCACCA
rnacentral:sRNA from 2 species